UAUGUUGUGAGUUCGAUGAGUAGGGCGGGACACGUGACAUCCUGUCUGAAUAUGGGGGGACCAUCCUCCAAGGCUAAAUACUCCUGACUGACCGAUAGUGAACCAGUACCGUGAGGGAAAGGCGAAAAGAACCCCGGCGAGGGGAGUGAAACAGAACCUGAAACCGUGUACGUACAAGCAGUGGGAGCACCUUCGUGGUGUGACUGCGUACCUUUUGUAUAAUGGGUCAGCGACUUAUAUUUUGUAGCAAGGUUAACCGAAUAGGGGAGCCGUAGGGAAACCGAGUCUUAACUGGGCGAAUAGUUGCAAGGUAUAGACCCGAAACCCGGUGAUCUAGCCAUGGGCAGGUUGAAGGUUGGGUAACACUAACUGGAGGACCGAACCGACUAAUGUUGAAAAAUUAGCGGAUGACUUGUGGCUGGGGGUGAAAGGCCAAUCAAACCGGGAGAUAGCUGGUUCUCCCCGAAAGCUAUUUAGGUAGCGCCUCGUGAACUCAUCUUCGGGGGUAGAGCACUGUUUCGGCUAGGGGGUCAUCCCGACUUACCAAACCGAUGCAAACUCCGAAUACCGAAGAAUGUUAUCACGGGAGACACACGGCGGGUGCUAACGUCCGUCGUGAAGAGGGAAACAACCCAGACCGCCAGCUAAGGUCCCAAAGUCAUGGUUAAGUGGGAAACGAUGUGGGAAGGCACAGACAGCCAGGAUGUUGGCUUAGAAGCAGCCAUCAUUUAAAGAAAGCGUAAUAGCUCACUGGUCGAGUCGGCCUGCGCGGAAGAUGUAACGGGGCUAAACCAUGCACCGAAGCUGCGGCAGCGAACGUAUCACUUAAAACGCUUAACGUGACGGCAAAGCCGGCAUGUUCAAGCCACACUAAACGUUGAGUUGGCCGAUGUGCUGACAAACGAACAGGCGUUUUAAGGAUACGUUCGUUGGGUAGGGGAGCGUUCUGUAAGCCGUUGAAGGUGACCUGUGAGGGUUGCUGGAGGUAUCAGAAGUGCGAAUGCUGACAUAAGUAACGAUAAUGCGGGUGAAAAACCCGCACGCCGGAAGACCAAGGGUUCCUGUCCAACGUUAAUCGGGGCAGGGUGAGUCGACCCCUAAGGCGAGGCUGAAAAGCGUAGUCGAUGGGAAACAGGUUAAUAUUCCUGUACUUGGUGUUACUGCGAAGGGGGGACGGAGAAGGCUAGGCUAGCCGGGCGACGGUUGUCCCGGUUUAAGCAUGUAGGCGGAGUGACCAGGUAAAUCCGGUUGCUUAUC
rnacentral:rRNA from 1 species